rnacentral:rRNA from 1 species
GACGAACGCUGGCGGCGUGCUUAACACAUGCAAGUCGAACGAUGAAGCUGGAGCUUGCUCCGGUGGAUUAGUGGCGAACGGGUGAGUAACACGUGAGCAAUCUGCCCUUGACUCUGGGAUAACUGCGGGAAACUAUAGCUAAUACCGGAUACGAGGCUCGAAGGCAUCUUCGGGUCUGGAAAGAAUUUCGGUCAAGGAUGAGCUCGCGGCCUAUCAGCUUGUUGGUGAGGUAAUGGCUCACCAAGGCGACGACGGGUAGCCGGCCUGCGAGGGUGACCGGCCACACUGGGACUGAGACACGGCCCAGACUCCUACGGGAGGCAGCAGUGGGGAAUAUUGCACAAUGGGCGAAAGCCUGAUGCAGCAACGCCGCGUGUGGGAUGAAGGCCUUCGGGUUGUAAACCUCUUUUAGCAGGGAAGAAGCGGAAGUGACGGUACCUGCAGAAAAAGCACCGGCUAACUACGUGCCAGCAGCCGCCGUAA